UACGUAGGGAGCAAGCGUUGUCCGGAAUCAUUGGGCGUAAAGCGCGCGUAGGUGGCCCCGUAAGUCCGCUGUGAAAGUCAAAGGCUCAACCUUUGAAAGCCGGUGGAUACUGUGGGACUAGAGUACGGAAGAGGCGAGUGGAAUUCCUGGUGUAGCGGUGAAAUGCGCAGAUAUCAGGAAGAACACCCGUGGCUAAGGCGGUUCUCUAGUACGGUACUGACGCUGAGACGCGAAAGCGUGGGGAGCGAACAGG
rnacentral:rRNA from 1 species